UACGAAGGGGGCUAGCGUUGUUCGGAAUUUCUGGGCGUAAAGCGCGCGCAGGCGGUUCUUUAAGUCAGGGGUGAAAUCCUGGAGCUCAACUCCAGAACUGCCUUUGAUACUGGCGAGCUUGAGUUCGGGAGAGGUGAGUGGAACUGCGAGUGUAGAGGUGAAAUUCGUAGAUAUUCGCAAGAACACCAGUGGCGAAGGCGGCUCACUGGCCCGAUACUGACGCUGAGGUGCGAAAGCGUGGGGAGCAAACAGG
rnacentral:rRNA from 1 species